UCCGUAGGUCCCGAGCGUUAUCCGGAUUUAUUGGGCGUAAAGCGAGCGCAGGCGGUUAGAUAAGUCUGAAGUGGAAGGCUGUGACUUAACCAUAGUAUGCUUCGGAAACUGUUUAACUUGAGUGCAGAAGGGGAGAGUGGAAUACCAUGUGUAGCGGUGAAAUGCGUAGAUAUAUGGAGGAACACCGGUGGCGAAAGCGGCUCUCUGGUCUGUAACUGACGCUGAGGCUCGAAAGCGUGGGGAGCAAACAGG
rnacentral:rRNA from 1 species